rnacentral:rRNA from 1 species
GACGAACGCUGGCGGCGUGCUUAACACAUGCAAGUCGAACGGUGAAGCUCCAGCUUGCUGGAGUGGAUCAGUGGCGAACGGGUGAGUAACACGUGAGCAACCGGCCCCUGACUCUGGAAUAAGCGCUGGAAACGGCGUCUAAUACUGGAUACGAGAAGGGUCCGCAUGGGCACCUUCUGGAAAGUUUUUCGGGUGGGGAUGGGCUCGCGGCCUAUCAGCUGGGGGGUGAGGUAAUGGCUGACCGAGGCGACGACGGGUAGCCGUCCUGACAGGGCGACGGGACCCGCCGGGACUGAGGGACUGCUCACACGGCUACUGGAGGCAGCUGUGGGGAAUGCUGCCCAGGGGGCGGAAGCGUGAUGUAUCGACUGCGCGUGACGGAUGACGGCCUUAGCGUGGGCAAUCCCUGGCAGCAGGGAACAAGCGACAGGGACGGUCCCUGCAGAAGAAGCACCGGCUAACUACGUG